rnacentral:rRNA from 1 species
GAUGAACGCUGGCGGCGUGGAUAAGUCAUGCAAGUCAAGGGGGCCGCAAGGCAACCGGCAGACGAGGUAGUAAUAAGCAGGUAUGAACCUAGAAGUCAGGAAUAGCCCAUCGAAAGGUGGGGUAAUACCCGAUAGUCCCUACGGGGUAAAGAUUUAUCGCUUCUAGAUCAGCCUGCUCGGUAUCAGCUAGUUGGUAAGGU